rnacentral:rRNA from 1 species
AUGGGGGCAGCCACUCAGUUCAGCUCUGGACAGAGGAGACUGGCGAUUUGGAUCCGCCAUGUUGUUCCGGCCGUCGGUGCUGCUUCCCCGGCUACUUCUUGGGCGGAGGAGGGAGCUCAGCUGCUUCUUGGGCGGAGGAGGGAGCUCGGUCCAUCUGUUCGCCCAGCCGCCAGAUCCAUGGGGGACAUGUCCACGAUUCAACGCCCGCCCGACGUUGUCACCAAGAUGUCAUUUUGCUUAUCAAUUUUUUGGGCCGGACCACCCUGCUGUCAAAUGCUAGCUCCGCCACUGCCAAGGAGGUAUAUAACUAUCCUAGUUCUGAAAUUUAAAAAUGAAGUACAAAGUCCGAAGACAGUAUAUGUAAGAGAACUUGCAAUAACUGCAAAGUUCCAAGGUCUAAUACAAGAACAUGGAAAUUUGCAUGUGUACAAAAGAUCCCCUAUGUUUGUCAUCGGAAACACUAUAUACCAAAAAGGAUGGCCGUGCCAAAAUCAUUUUAUAUUUAUAUUGAAUGAGAGAAAAUAA